CCAAGUUGAAUUAAACCAAUAACUGUGCAUGAGGAAAUAAGCGAUUGCUUGUCUUCCAGAUCGCUCGUUCUUAUUUUGAUUUGGAUCCAGCUAAUGGAAUGCGGAAACUCAGAGAAAGGGAGGGAAUGCCGGUUCAGGUGUCAACCCUGCUGUCUGAAUCCUGUUUAGUACUACAAGAUAAUAAGGAUCAUACCUGAGGAGCAACUCAACUCUAAACUUUCCGAAAUAUACCGAAAAGAACCAGUUAUGAAUUUAUUUAUCAAGACCAUUCAU